CGAACGCUGGCGGCAGGCCUAACACAUGCAAGUCGAGCGAGACCUUCGGGUCUAGCGGCGGACGGGUUAGUAACGCGUGGGAAUAUACCCUUUGGUACGGAAUAGCCUCGGGAAACUGAGAGUAAUACCGUAUGUGCCCUUCGGGGGAAAGAUUUAUCGCUUUAGGAACGGCCUGCGACGUAUCAGCUAGUUGGUGAGGUAAUGGCUCACCAAGGCUAUGACGCGUAGGGGAGCUGAGAGGCUGACCCCCACCGAUGGCACUGCGACACGGGCCAUACUCCUACGGGAGGCUGCAGUCGAGAAUCUUCCGCAAUGGACGAAAGUCUGACGGAGCGACGCCGCGUGAUUGAUGAAGUCCUUAGGGACGUAAAGAUCUUUUAUGAGGGAGGAAAUUUUGACGUUACCUCAUGAAUAAGGGGCUCCUAACUCUGUGCCAGCCGCCGCGGUAAUAC
rnacentral:rRNA from 1 species